AUAGCGUAUAUUAAAGUUGUUGCAGUUAAAAAGCUCGUAGUUGAAUUUCGGGGUUAAUAAGCUGGUCGUGCCAAUGGUAUGUACUGGUUUUAUUGAUUCCUACCUCUUGACGAACUGUGAUGCCAUUAAUUUGGUGUCGCAAGGAAUCAGGACUGUUACCUUGAAAAAAUUAGAGUGUUUAAAGCAGGCUUACGCUUGAAUACAUUAGCAUGGAAUAAUGAAAUAGGACGUUUGAUCCUAUUUUGUUGGUUUCUAGGAUUGACGUAAUGAUUAAUAGGGAUAGUUGGGGGCAUUAGUAUUCAAUUGUCAGAGGUGAAAUUCUUGGAUUUAUUGAAGACUAACUACUG
rnacentral:rRNA from 1 species